CACAUGUCAUGCCAAAAUCCGCGGACAAUCCGUCCGAUCCAAGGGUAAUAUUAAUUAUAUUAAAAAUAAUUAUUUCAAUUAUAUACUAAUUAUUUAAAAAAUAAUAAUAUAUUUAAUAUUAAAUUAAAUAAAUAUUUUCUAUAUUUUUACAGUUGGCGGAUAUCCGCAGUUGAAAUUUCGCUGACCCCACAGUCGUUCCGCGUCAAAAACACUCAACACUCAACCCGCAUCCGUAAAUUAAUUUUUUCAAAUCACUCGACCGCAUUUGGCGACGGAUCAAACGAGGUGGGCCCAUGGAUAAAUGAUUCAAAUUCCAAGCUCUAUAUGGGACUUUGUCUAUGCCUUUUUUUUAUAUAUCAACCAGAGUUCGUCUAUGCCUAAACCUGAGGAGCUCCGGGAACAUACCAAAGUGGGCUAUUAAUAAUUUUUGUCCAGCACAUAUUUUGCUGUAAUAAAUAAAACCUAACCGAAACGAAAUUGGAUGUUCGGUUUCAUCUAGGUGACAUUAUUUUCACCCAAACCGAAUCUAAUUUCAAUGUCCGAACCUAACCGAGGAAAAACCCAAAUUUCGCCUAAGACCUCGUCUUCAUCAGGCAUUAUCCGCCUCCUCGGAUAAUUUCUGUGUUUUUGUCAUAUUUAAUUUAUAAGUUUUUUUUUUCAUAUUUGCUACGGAUGGAGAGAACCAAUACGAAAAAGGUGACAAAGAAGUUACACAUGGAGGUGAUGAUUUUGGUAAUGUUUCAGCAAAGAAGGCAAAUGAAACUACACAAUUUCAAGAUUGGAUUGAAGUUAAUAGUAAGAACAGAGAGAAUACAAAUAGUAAACAUGAAAAUUACUCAAGUACAAAAGAAAUUUUUUAUCUGAGUCUUCUUUUAAACAAGAUCAAAAGUUCGACCAGUUACGAGGAUAUACAAACUGUUAAUGGGAUUUUGUAUACUACAUUUGAAGAUGCUUAUAAUGCUCUUCUUAUUUGAACUAUAUUUUUUCAUGAUAAAUUUACUUAUUUUUAAAUUAUUUAUAGCAAAUAAAGUGGAAACCUAUAAAAAAAAAAUCUGACUUCAACAAUAUAAACUUUUCAACUAACGAAGAUAUACAAAGUAAUACUAAAUACAUGCUGGUUUGAUAUGGUUGGAAAUUAAAAACUAUGAGUGUUUUGGUUUUUGCAAAGAAUAGUAUACUCUUACAAAAUGGUUUCUACGGAUCAAAUACAAGAUUUCUAAAUAUAGUGUAUGUAAUUGUAUUAAAACUAAUACAAUAAAGGUUAGAUAAAAUACCAACUCAAUAAAAUUAAAUUAACAAUUACAAUAGAUAAAUAUAGAAUAACUACCCACUACUUAUCCCACAAACCUUUAAGCCUAAUUAUUCUCAACUGAACACACGAUAGCUUUUCCUGUUCCGGUUCUCUUUAUCACCACAGCUUCACCUUCUUUUUUUCCACCAUCGUUUCAUCUCUAUUCUUUUUUCCUCACCAUCGUAGCCAAAACACUCUCCACAGAGUAUAGGUUGAAGAUGCCACUGGAGUAUACUCCUCUUUCCCAGCUCAAUUCAUCUUCCCAGCUCAAUUCAUCUCAAAAAGAAAGGAAAAUUCGAGUGUUGGUCUCACGGGUAUGGAACUACUACUCCAAAAAUAAACCUGAAGUUGUUCUCGGGAUGGAAGCUAUCCUUGUGGAUGAAAAGGGAGAAAGGAUUCAAGCUUCUGUGAAACAGAAGUUGAUUAAAAAAUUUGGAAGGGACCUAAAAGAAGGAGAGUAUCUAGAUGUCAUGAAUUUUGAAGUGUUGGGUAACAAUGGUGAUUACAGAGGAACCAGACACCCUUACAAGAUAAGUUUUAUAUGGACUACAUAUAUGAAGACCUCUGAGCAGAUCCCAAAUCUAUCUCGCUUCAACUUAAGCCCCUUUUCCAGAUAUUUUAUCUCAGUCCAAUGUUGAUGAUGUCUUCAUAGACAUACUGGGUGAAAUUGUUGGCAUGGGUGAAAUCACUGAGAGGAAGUAUGCAGGACAUUCAACAAAACUUUUGGAUAUUCAACUACGAGAUCUGAGUGAAACAAUCAUUGAAUGCACUUUAUGGAAAAACCAUGCUGAGGAUGUACACUCUUAUGUGAAGAAUAACAAAACUGGUCCAGUUAUAUUGCUUGGCAGUCUUAUGAGGACCAAAAAAUUCAACAGUAACCAUUUUAUCAUAUAAGUACUGUAUUUUUAAAAAAUAUUUAAUAACAGUACAAAAGAAAUUAUUUUAUAUAUAGGUAAAAUAUCAGUUCAACACUCACGCUUUUCUACAAAGCUUUUUCUGAAUGAAGAAGAUAUAGAUGAGAUAAGUGAAUUUAAGAAAGGAAUGAUGAACACUCUUAAUCUGGCUCCAUGUACGGUUACUUAAAUGGUAAAACCCACUUCAAAAGGGAAUUCCUUGGUUCUAUGCUACGUUACAUGGAAACGGAAGCGGAUUCACGGAAGCGGAAUCGUAUGGAAGCGUAGAAGCGAGUUUUUUAAAAAAAUUAAGAAGCGGAAUCGUAUUGGAAGCGUAUGUAAAUAUAAUAUACAUAUAUAUAUAAUGUAAA